ACAGUAGUUUUCACAUUGGUU
rnacentral:miRNA from 1 species